UCUCUAGUGGCUCAGUUGGUAAAGAAUCUGCCUGCAAAGCAGGAGACCCAGGUUUGAUCCCUGGGUUGGGAC
rnacentral:tRNA from 1 species